rnacentral:rRNA from 1 species
UGUGGAAUAUUGCACAAUGGGCGCAAGCCUGAUCCAGCAAUGCCGCGUGCAGGAUGAAGGCCUUCGGGUUGUAAACCUCUUUUAGUAGGGAAGAAGCGAAAGUGACGGUACCUGCAGAAAAAGCACCGGCUAACUACGUG